rnacentral:tRNA from 1 species
GCCUUUGUGGUGCAAAGAUUAGCACACUUGGCGCGUAAUCGAGAGGUUCAGGUUCGAGUCCCAGCAAAGGCA